rnacentral:rRNA from 1 species
AGAGUUUGAUCAUGGCUCAGAUUGAACGCUGGCGGUAUGCUUAACACAUGCAAGUCGGGCGGCAGCGGGCCUUCGGGUGCCGGCGAGUGGCGGACGGGUGAGUAACGCGUAGGAAUCUGCCCCAUAGUGGGGGACAACGUGGGGAAACCCACGCUAAUACCGCAUACGCCCUACGGGGGAAAGCGGGGGACCUUCGGGCCUCGCGCUAUGGGAUGAGCCUGCGUUAGAUUAGCUAGUUGGUGGGGUAAGGGCCUACCAAGGCGACGAUCUAUAGCUGGUCUGAGAGGACGAUCAGCCACACUGGGACUGAGACACGGCCCAGACUCCUACGGGAGGCAGCAGUGGGGAAUAUUGGACAAUGGGCGCAAGCCUGAUCCAGCAAUACCGCGUGUGUGAAGAAGGCCCUAGGGUUGUAAAGCACUUUCAAUUGGGAGGAAAACCUGCCGGCCAAUACCCGGCAGCUUGACAUUACCUUUAGAAGAAGCACCGGCUAACUCCGUGCCAGCAGCCGCGGUAAUACGGAGGGUGCGAGCGUUAAUCGGAAUUACUGGGCGUAAAGCGUGCGUAGGCGGUUCGUUAAGUCAGAUGUGAAAGCCCUGGGCUCAACCUGGGAACUGCAUUUGGAACUGGCGGGCUAGAGUUUAGUAGAGGGGAGUGGAAUUUCAGGUGUAGCGGUGAAAUGCGUAGAUAUCUGAAGGAACACCAGUGGCGAAGGCGACUCCCUGGACUAGAACUGACGCUGAGGUACGAAAGCGUGGGUAGCAAACAGGAUUAGAUACCCUGGUAGUCCACGCCGUAAACGAUGUCGACUAGCCGUUGGCCCUAUUUACAGGGUUAGUGGCGCAGCUAACGCAUUAAGUCGACCGCCUGGGGAGUACGGCCGCAAGGUUAAAACUCAAAUGAAUUGACGG